GAGAAACCUGUCACUGCAUCACACCCGCGGCAGUCAGCCGUGAUCAUAAUUUCUUAUUGACAAAGAUCUCGUUCGACGAUGGUUCUCCUAGACGACGAACCUUGCUUCGUCGGCGUUCGGCGUGGUCCGGUCCGGCAUUUGUGCUCGUGGCUUCAGCUGUGGAUGCUGCGUGGUCCUCCGCGCGAUAAAACCAUCAUUUGAUUAGCGUUUUGAAAUAGUCCGCCGUGUGCUGUAGUGUUGUUCGUUCAAGCUGUGUGGAGUUGUAGCUUGCCGGAAUAGUUUCUCUAAAGCUGUAUUGUUUGCACUGUGGGAUACUUGACCUGGGUGAACGUGAAGAGUGCUAAGUGGCAUUGCGAAUAUUUCCGAGAGGUUCACGUGGUGGUUGGUGAUCAUGAAGAUACUAGUGAUUUUGACGACCUUGAUGGUGGGUGCUUUGGCCGACCCCCAGGUGUUCUAUCCGGCAAUUGGUCUACGGCCGAAAGCUUUCCGUAAAGGUGAUAAUUUGUACAUUUAUUAAGUGUGAAAAAAUGCAAAAUAAUAUUUAUUUCAAAUCUCACUCCUUUAACGCUUCAUGAAAUGGUUUAACGCUACUGACUGGAUAUACUCAACCCUGGAUUUCGGUUACUGCAAUUAACAGCUUUAAGGAAAGCAGGACUCUUCCCGUUGGUGGUCCCAGUGGCAGUUGCUCCAAUCGCGCCGGUGGUACAUGUGCCAGUAGCACCCGUGGUACCCGUAGGACUUGCCCCCGUUGCACCAAUUGCUCCAGUCGUCCCGGUGGGUCCAUUUGGCUUAGGAAAAGCAGCAGGAUUCGGCGGUGGUGGCAGUAACGCCCAUGCACAGACGGCCUCGUUCAGCAUUGGACCCGGAGGCAUCAGCGGUUCGUUCAGCAAAUCGGCAGCUAAUUCGGAUGCUUUUGGCUAUGGUGGAUACGGAGGAGCGGGUGCUUCCGCAAGUGCCGUGGCAGAAUCUGAAUCGUACGGUGGAGGCUAUGGUGGAUUUGGAGGCGCAUCGUCUAGCGCACACGCGUCGGCGAAUUCGUACGGAGGGGGUGGCCUGUUACCGUAGACGGGUGAUUGCUGCUGCUGAUGAGACGGCUGAACUAUCACAGAAGUAGGCGUUGGCCGGGUACGGAUCACCACCGUUGAGGGAGCAGCUGUGAACAAUUGAAUAUUACAUAGGGUAUUGGUUCCCUUAUUAAGCAUGUGGCUCCCAUUUUCAUCCGAUGAAAAACAAAGGAUUGAAGCGCUAUUUGUUUUGUUUCUUAUUUUUGUAUUUUUUGUUAGAAGUGAGCACCCAUGAAAACAAAAAGAACGGAGUCAAUCGGUGCCGUAAUCGCUUGUUUUCGAAUAGGAUGAAAAUGGGAGCAUGAGAUUACUGAUGGCACACAUACCCUAGCUUA